GACGAACGCUGGCGGCGUGCUUAACACAUGCAAGUCGAACGGUGAAGCGCCUUCCUUUUUGGUGGGUGUGGAUGAGUGGCGAACGGGUGAGUAACACGUGAGUAACCUGCCCCCUUCUUCUGGAUAACCGCAUGAAAGUGUGGCUAAUACGGGAUAUUCUGGGUCUGUCGCAUGAUGGGUCUGGGAAAGAUAUUGUUUCGGUGGGGGAUGUGCUCGCGGCCUAUCAGCUUGUUGGUGGGGUGAUGGCCUACCAAGGCGGUGACGGGUAGCCGGCCUGAGAGGGUGGACGGUCAAGAUGGGGAUGAGACACAGCCGAGACUACUACGGGAGGCAGCAGUGGGGAAUAUUGCACAAUGGGAGCAAGCCUGAUGCAGCGACGCCGCGUGAGGGAUGGAGGCCUGCGGGUUGUGAACCUCUUUCGCCAGUGAAGCAGGCCUGCCUCGUUUGUGGGUGGGUUGACGGUAGCUGGAUAAGAAGCGCCGGCUAACUACGUG
rnacentral:rRNA from 1 species